rnacentral:misc_RNA from 1 species
GGUGAAGAAAACUAAGAAUGUAGGGCAAAGAUCUACAAAUUUGGUGAAUGGAGGUCCAUGCUGAGUCUCAUAGCUUUAGGUCCAUCAUCUUGUUUAUUAUUUCCUUAUCUCUAGUCCUCUAAAAGAAAAUGCAUUUUCCUUUUUGAUAGAUCAUACCAAAAGAAAGAUUUGAAUACCUAACAUCCCAUGGUCUGGUUUAUAGCCAUUUGCUCUAGUAAAAAAAUAACCUUUCCCCUCUCCUCAGUAGGCACCACUUUCAAUUGCAACAGACUACAGUGGGGUAAAUUCUACAAGAAAAACAAGCCCUCCCUUGUUUACCUGUCCACCUUCCACUGUGGAGGGAUACUCAUAUGGAUUAUGGAAGAAACAAAAAAUUUCAAGUCCAUUAGGAGGAAAAACCUAUGGGCUAAAAUGUUUGGAUAUGAACACUCCACUCUUGAAUAGAAUCUCAGAAAAAACCUGUCACAGAAAAGAAGGUUCAAACAUGUGACGAUUGAUAAAGAAUUUCUACAAAGAUUUGCAAGGAAAUAUUCAUUCCAAACUUCGACUGAGGCAAUCCUAUUAUAAGGAGAAGAUGAAGCGAUUCAUCAGAAGCAUCCAUCAGAGGGGAAGUUGUAAUGCAAGUCGCCUGAAGGGAUUCUCUAGCUCUGGUAGAGCUAUGAAAUUUCAAAGGGAGUGAAGAAGAGGCAAAAGCUUGCAAAUUUUGGAUGCCAAUUAAAGAAAGCAACCUCAGAGAAGCGCAACUAUCAGAAAGCUACAAUGGUCCUCAGCAAAUUGGUAUAUUCUUAAAAGUAAAAUCCCAGAAUUUGGCAAUAUGAAAUUUGUGAGUGAUUUUUUAUAAGUGAAAAACAAUAAAUCAAGAUGUGUAGUUGUAAAUAUAUGUAUCUCAGUCCAUGCUCCUGUAGUUCUCAUCCUCAUUUCCCAACUCUUAGUUUAGUUGUUCAGUUGAUGUGAGCCUUCUUCA